rnacentral:rRNA from 1 species
AGCCGCGGCCUCCUCUCCCCUCCCACGCGCCUCCUCCUCCCGCACCCGCGCCUCCCUCUCCUCCCGCGCGCCUCCUCUCCUCCCGCCCACAUCGUCGCCGCCGCCGCCACCGCAACCCACCGCCUCGAACCACGCCAUCGACAUCCAUCCACUGCUCCGGCACCGUCCAGAUGCGCCGCAACAGAGCCCCCCAGCCCUGGGGCAAGAAUAGAGAUGGCGGCGGCGGCCGGAUCCGAAGACGGCGGGGCGGCGACCACUCCCAUGAGACUCGGCGGCAAGCAGCGCGCACCGAGGGGUCGAAGGGCGCUCCGGAUCCAGAUCCUGGCGCAGUGGCGGCCAUGGCCGAGCUUGAGCCGGGGCGCGGUGGCGGCCAUGGCCGAGCUUGAGCCGGGGCGCGGUGGCGGCCAUGGCCGAGCUUGAGCCGGAGCGCGAGGAGGACGGCGCUGACGUCGAGAUCGCGCACAUCGAGCCCACCUAGCCGCUGCCUCCUCCUCGCACACCCGCCCCCGUUCUAGAACCCUAGCCGCCCCAUCCCCGUGCCUUCCCGUGCUCGCUCCUCCCCUCCCUUUCCAGCUGCCACUCCCCUCCCCUCCCCGGUCUCUGUUCCGCCGUCAUCGCCAUUGCCACUACUGGCCAUCACCAUCGCCGGGAGGAGGCCGAGCGAAGCGGGCCGCUUGUACUGGAGACCAAGCCGCCUCUCCCUCCCGCGCGGUCGCGGCUUCCUCCUGCCCCACGUCGUCGUCCCUGCCCCAACCACCGCACCCUCUCCCUCCCCCUACCGUCGGCCUCUCCCCAGGCGGCGGCCAGAUCUGCCACCGCCACCUCUCCUCUCUCUCUCUCUGAUGUGUUUCGAUCUGUUUCAGGAACAAAUGUUGCUGCUAGCCUUGUAGUUAGUUAUGUGUUGUGUGUCAUUCUUUGACUGACUGCAAAUCAGUGUUCUGUAGGAGUAUAUGCCAUGUUAUAGAAAGAAGGUGCUCAAGUUGAACAUCUUUUGGUGCAUUUUUUGUUUCAACAACUGACACAUGUUAUGUUGGGUUCCCACUGAAGUGCAUAGACAAUGCAUUAUGAGGCAUCAUGAGUGGUAACGAAUAGCUCUUCGGGGGAUGCGGGCCCAAUGGGGUGUGUGCAUGCCUUCGCGGGUUCGUGCCUCGGUUGCUCCAGUGCUUGCUAUUACGCUCGACUUCCUAUUGUUAGUUGUAACCCACUUGCUUCGAUUUCCUCGUGGUAGUACCCCAUCAGUUUGAUGGAGAUCACUGAGCUGCGGGUUGGAACUGAUCAGUUCAUGUCCUGAGCCUUUAUAGCUUAGUUAUUGGGGCCUCUGGAGCGAUGGUGGUGGUGAAUCCCACAAGUUUCUGGUUGUUAAUAUUCCCUUACUUUGUCUAUUGUGAUUUGUCAACUAUCCUGGUUAUUAUCAUUCGCUUUAUGGCUAGAAAUGCUUGCACCUAUUUGGUGGUUAUAAUUGUCAGCCUUUUCCUUUUACUUGGCUUGUGGCUCACAAUUGGCAGUUGAUGAUACAUAUAUUUAGCACCUAAUUAAACAUCUUUUGUGGCAUGACAGGUUAAUUGAGAAUUCUUAUGAUUGUGUAGAUGUAUAUAAAGUUCCACGUACAUGAAUCUCCACUCAUCUGCAUUUUCUGACACGAGGUUGCAUCUUAAAAGUUGGGUGCUUGAUAAUUUCUCCAGGUGGAUGAGCACAAUAUGAAACAUCGACAUCCCUAUUGCAUCCUUCCGAAGCACUAGCCCCUCUCAAGUUUAUAGGAAGUUGCUGAAAUCAAAGAGGAGCAGCAAAAGAUCGAUGAGGCUGCUAAAAUCAUGCAAGAUGUUGUUCAUUGAAGGGGUGCCACUUGGCUGGCAGCAGGAAGUAAGCCAUCAACAUCAUCAAGAUCCGCUUGAAGGACAACACCAUGGAAGAUGCUCAAUGACCAGAUCGUCGUCCUCUCCGAGAGGAGGGGCCAGCUCAAGCAGCAUUGAAGGGGUGCCACUUGGCUGGCAGCAGGAAGUAAGCCAUCAACAUCAUCAAGAUCCGCUUGAAGGACAACACCAUGGAAGAUGCUCAAUGACCAGAUCGUCGUCCUCUCCGAGAGGAGGGGCCAGCUCAAGCAGCAUUGAAGGGGUGUCACUUGGCUGGCAGCAGGAAGUAAGCCAUCAACAUCAUCAAGAUCCGCUUGAAGGACAACACCAUGGAAGAUGCUCAAUGACCAGAUCGUCGUCCUCUCCGAGAGGAGGGGCCAGCUCAAGCAGGUUGCCGCUGGAACUAGAUGGGGUCUCCAGCCAGCCGCCAUGUGGCUUGCAGUAGCGGUUGAUGCAAGUUAUCCUUACAUACGUAUAAGGGUCUUAGUACUUACUUAGUAUGACAAAGUGAAGAUAGAACUGAUGUAUUGAAUUAUUAAUGGGGUGGUUUCGAUGAGAACUGAAACCUUUUGCUUUCAAGGUUGGACACUGAUAUGAACUGUGAGUAUUUAAUAGAGAAAUUCAGUUCAUAUGGAUCAAAACGAAGGCAUGUAGUACCUCACAUGGACAGUGAUUAUUUGCCCAUUGUAGUACUUCAAAUUUGAUGAAGAAUUUAUUUCACGACUGAGACAUGGGAUUUGGAGAAUCUCAGUUCUGACAUGUAUAUUAAUCACCUUUAUUUUGUCAUGGUACUGAAUGUUCUGAUAUGGCACUAUAUGUUUUGUUUAUCUCUUAUAAAUAAUGAAAUGGCC